rnacentral:rRNA from 1 species
UAGGGAAUCUUCCACAAUGGACGCAAGUCUGAUGGAGCAACGCCGCGUGAGUGAAGAAGGCUUUUCGGGUCGUAAAACUCUGUUAUUGAAGAAGAACGUGUGUGACAGUAACUGGUCAUGCAGUGACGGUAUUCAAUCAGAAAGUCACGGCUAACUACGUGCCAGCAGCCGCGGUAAUACGUAGGUGGCAAGCGUUGUCCGGAUUUAUUGGGCGUAAAGCGAGUGCAGGCGGUCUUUUAAGUCUGAUGUGAAAGCCUUCGGCUUAACCGAAGAAGGGCAUCGGAAACUGGGAGACUUGAGUGCAGAAGAGGAGAGUGGAACUCCAUGUGUAGCGGUGAAAUGCGUAGAUAUAUGGAAGAACACCAGUGGCGAAGGCGGCUCUCUGGUCUGUAACUGACGCUGAGGCUCGAAAGCGUGGGUAGCAAACAGGAUUAGAUACCCUGGUAGUCCACGCCGUAAAACGAUGAAUACUAAGUGUUGGAGGGUUUCCGCCCUUCAGUGCUGCAGCUAACGCAUUAAGUAUUCCGCCUGGGGAGUACGACCGCAAGGUUGAAAC